rnacentral:rRNA from 1 species
UGGGGAAUAUUGCACAAUGGGCGCAAGCCUGAUGCAGCCAUGCCGCGUGUGUGAAGAAGGCCUUCGGGUUGUAAAGCACUUUCAGCGAGGAGGAAGGUGGUGAGCUUAAUACGUUCAUCAAUUGACGUUACUCGCAGAAGAAGCACCGGCUAACUCCGUGCCAGCAGCCGCGGUAAUACGGAGGGUGCAAGCGUUAAUCGGAAUUACUGGGCGUAAAGCGCACGCAGGCGGUUUGUUAAGUCAGAUGUGAAAUCCCCGGGCUCAACCUGGGAACUGCAUUUGAAACUGCAAGCUAGAGUCUCGUAGAGGGGGGUAGAAUUCCAGGUGUAGCGGUGAAAUGCGUAGAGAUCUGGAGGAAUACCGGUGGCGAAGGCGGCCCCCCUGGACGAAGACUGACGCUCAGGUGCGAAAGCGUGGGGAGCAAACAGAUUAGAUACCCUGGUAGUCCACGCUGUAAAACGAUGUCGAUUUUGGAGGUUGUGCCCUGAGGCGUGGNUUCCGGAGCUAACGNGUUAAAUCGACCGCCNGGGGAGUACGGCCNCAAGGUUAAAACUAAAUGAAUU